rnacentral:rRNA from 1 species
AAUAUUGCACAUUGGGCGAAAGCCUGUUCCAGCCAUGCCGCGGUGGUGAAGAAGGUCUUCGGAUUGUAAAGCACUUUAGGUGGGGGGACAGGGCAGUAAGUUAUUACUUUGCGGUUUUGACGUUACCGCAAGAAUAAUCACGGGCAAACUUCGUUCCAGCAGCCGCGGUAAUACGAAGGGUGCAAGCGUUAAUCGGAAUUACUGGGCGAAAAGCGCGCGUAGGUGGUUCAGUAAGAUGGGUGUGAAAUCCCCGGGCUCAACCUGGGAACUGCUUUCAUAACUGCUGAGCUAGAGUACGGUAGAGGGUAGUGGAAUUUCCUGUGUAGCGGUGAAAUGCGUAGAUAUAGGAAGGAACACCAGUGGCGAAGGCGACUACCUGGACUGAUACUGACACUGAGGUGCGAAGGCGUGGGGAGCAAGC